CGGGAAACCGGAGCUAAUACCGAUAAUAUAUUGAACCGCAUGGUUCAAUAGUGAAAGACGGUUUUGCUGUCACUUAUAGAUGGAUCCGCGCUGCAUUAGCUAGUUGGUAAGGUAACGGCUUACCAAGGCAACGAUGCGUAGCCGACCUGAGAGGGUGAUCGGCCACACUGGAACUGAGACACGGUCCAGACUCCUACGGGAGGCAGCAGGU
rnacentral:rRNA from 1 species